rnacentral:rRNA from 1 species
UACGAAGGGGGCUAGCGUUGCUCGGAAUCACUGGGCGUAAAGGGUGCGUAGGCGGGUCUUUAAGUCAGGGGUGAAAUCCUGGAGCUCAACUCCAGAACUGCCUUUGAUACUGAGGAUCUUGAGUUCGGGAGAGGUGAGUGGAACUGCGAGUGUAGAGGUGAAAUUCGUAGAUAUUAGGAAGAACACCGGUGGCGAAGGCGGCAUCCUGGACCGGCAUUGACGCUGAGGCGCGAAAGCCAGGGGAGCAAAGCG